UACGGGGGGGGCAAGCGUUGUUCGGAAUUACUGGGCGUAAAGGGCUCGUAGGUGGCCAACUAAGUCAGACGUGAAAUCCCUCGGCUUAACCGGGGAACUGCGUCUGAUACUGGAUGGCUUGAGUUCGGGAGAGGGAUGCGGAAUUCCAGGUGUAGCGGUGAAAUGCGUAGAUAUCUGGAGGAACACCGGUGGCGAAGGCGGGUCUCUGGGCAGUAACUGACGCUGAGGAGCGAAAGCGUGGGGAGCAAACAGG
rnacentral:rRNA from 1 species